rnacentral:rRNA from 1 species
CCUACGGGUGGCAGCAGUGGGGAAUAUUGGACAAUGGGCGAAAGCCUGAUCCAGCCAUGCCGCGUGUGUGAAGAAGGCCUUCGGGUUGUAAAGCACUUUCAGUGGGGAAGAAAGCCUUGGGGCUAAUACCCUCGAGGAAGGACAUCACCCACAGAAGAAGCACCGGCUAACUCCGUGCCAGCAGCCGCGGUAAUACGGAGGGUGCGAGCGUUAAUCGGAAUUACUGGGCGUAAAGCGCGCGUAGGCGGUCUGAUAAGCCGGUUGUGAAAGCCCCGGGCUCAACCUGGGAACGGCAUCCGGAACUGUCAGGCUAGAGUGCAGGAGAGGAAGGUAGAAUUCCCGGUGUAGCGGUGAAAUGCGUAGAGAUCGGGGGGAAUACCAGUGGCGAAGGCGGUCUUCUGGACUGACACUGACGCUGAGGUGCGAAAGCGUGGGUAGCAAACAGGAUUAGAUACCCUAGUAGUC